AUGUACAUUCCUACAACAUAGCGUUAAUGCAUCAGAUUCCAUUAUAACUCCACAGUUAAGCGCACUUAGGCUAGAGUAGUACUAGGAUGGGUGACCACCCAAGAAGUUCUAUUGUUUUACAUG
rfam:Picea glauca, whole genome shotgun sequence.